GUUAUAUCUCAAAAAUAAAUUUUAAAUUUUAAAUUUAUCCUUAUUCAUUACAGUCGUCAUACCCAAUGAUAAAAGGAAAUGGCAUUAUAUGACUAGGCUUUUAAUCCAGACUAGGCCCCAUUGGAAUCAUUACUCCGACAAACCUUAAAACUUUUUCAAUAUAAUUGAUUUCCAUUUUGUCCUCAUAUGUACCCUUAUGCUCUUAAUGGUUUAUUUUCUGUUAAUGUUAUUAAUUAAUUAAUUAUCCAUUCAAAGUUUAUUAUUUUUAUAAUAUUUUUUUUUAAUUUGGC
rnacentral:misc_RNA from 1 species